ACUUUUAUGGAUACUUUGCAAGGGAAUAGAGAGAAAUGAAUGAUACAUAAUGCAGACAUGAAUGAUGUAUGCUGCAAACAGCUAAAAAUCUACAAAUCAAAAGAAAGUAACUUAUCUUACAUUGAGGAUGUACAGACCUACUCUCUGUGUAUGAAAGUACUGGAACCCAACAGCUUCAGAAGUAUGCAAAAGAAAGAAAAAAAUCUAUCACAAUGACUUUAGAACUGUUGCACAUUUUCUGAGGCACACUAUCGAGGGAAGUACAUAAUGCAGCUUUGCUGUAUAUCACUGCCAUCUAGUGGACUUAUCUGUGGGAGUGUGACUCCAAUAUCCGUUUAAAGGUAACAGUAUUGCUCCGGUUUUACUCUAAUUUUGGUUAGAAAUUAUUUCAGUUCACAGCUCUUAUUGUGUGGUAUAG
rnacentral:lncRNA from 1 species